ACACGUAGGGGCCUGACGUUGUUCGGAAUCAUUGGGCGUAAAGGGCGCGCAGGCGGCCGUCCAAGUCCGGUGUUAAAUGGUCGGGCUCAACCCGAUCAUGCGCUGGAAACUGGGCGGCUUGAGUCCCGUAGGGGAUGCCGGAAUUCCAGGUGUAGGGGUGAAAUCUGUAGAUAUCUGGAAGAACACCGAUGGCGAAGGCAGGCAUCUGGCCGGAGACUGACGCUGAGGCGCGAAGGCGCGGGGAGCGAACAGGUUUAGAUACCCUGGUAGUCCGCGCAGUAAACGAUGCGCACCAGGUGUCGGGCGGCAGCGCCCGGUACCGGAGCUAACGCGAUGAGUGCGCCGCCUGGGGAGUAUGCCCGCAAGGGUGAAACUCAAAGGAAUUGGCGGG
rnacentral:rRNA from 1 species